rnacentral:rRNA from 1 species
AACGAACGUUAGCGGCGCGCUUAACACAUGCAAGUCGUGCGAGAAAGGGAGCAGUCCCCGGUACAGUGGCGCACGGGUGAGUAACACGUAGAUGACCUUCCCUGGGAGUGGUGGAUAAACCUGCCGAAAGGCGGGCUAAUACAGCGAGUGGGACCACAUGGUUUUGACCGAGUGGUGAAAGCGGGCCUCUGUUCACAAGCUCGCGCUCUGGGAUGGGUCUGCGUCCCAUCAGCUAGUUGGUGAGGUAAUGGCUCACCAAGGCAUCGACGGGUAGCUGGUCUGAGAGGAUGACCAGCCACACUGGAACUGAGACACGGUCCAGACUCCUACGGGAGGCAGCAGUGGGGAAUCUUGCGCAAUGGGCGAAAGCCUGACGCAGCGACGCGCGUGGGUGAUGAAGGCCU